rnacentral:rRNA from 1 species
CGGGACGGGUGAGUAAUGUCUGGGGAAACUGCCUGAUGGAGGGGGAUAACUACUGGAAACGGUAGCUAAUACCGCAUAACGUCGCAAGACCAAAGAGGGGACCUUAGGGCCUCUUGCCAUCGGAUGUGCCCAGAUGGGAUUAGCUAGUAGGUGGGGUAACGGCUCACCUAGGCGACGAUCCCUAGCUGGUCUGAGAGGAUGACCAGCCACACUGGAACUGAGACACGGUCCAG